rnacentral:rRNA from 1 species
GAUGAACGCUGGCGGCGUGCCCAAUACAUGCAAGUCGAGCGAACGGACGAGAAGCUUGCUUUUCUGAUGUUAGCGGCGGACGGGUGAGUAACACGUGGAUAACCUACCUAUAAGACUGGGAUAACUUCGGGAAACCGGAGCUAAUACCGGAUAAUAUUUUGAGCCGCAUGGUUCAAAAGUGAAAGACGGUCUUGCUGUCACUUAUAGAUGGAUCCGCGCUGCAUUAGCUAGUUGGUAAGGUAACGGCUUACCAAGGCAACGAUGCAUAGCCGACCUGAGAGGGUGAUCGGCCACACUGGAACUGAGACACGGUCCAGACUCCUACGGGAGGCAGCAGUAGGGAAUCUUCCGCAAUGGGCGAAAGCCUGACGGAGCAACGCCGCGUGAGUGAUGAAGGUCUUCGGAUCGUAAAACUCUGUUAUUAGGGAAGAACAUAUGUGUAAGUAACUGUGCACAUCUUGACGGUACCUAAUCAGAAAGCCACGGCUAACUACGUG